rnacentral:rRNA from 1 species
UACAGAGGGUGCGAGCGUUUAAUCGGAUUUACUGGGCGUAAAAGGGCGCGUAGGUUGUUAUUUAAGUGAGAUGUGAAAUCCCCCGGGCUUAACCUGGGAACUGCAUCUUAUACUGAGUAACUGGAGUGCAAUAGAGGGUAGUGGAAUUUCCGGUGUAGCGGUGAAAUGCGUAGAUAUCGGAAGGAACACCAGUGGCGAAGGCGGCUACCUGGAUUGACACUGACACUGAGGCGCGAGAGCGUGGGGAGCAAACAGG